AUCGCCUGCAUCGACACCGUUGCUGACUGCUUCCAGGUAUCUGUUCUUAUCAGUGUAAUAUCUGAUAUGUCGCUACGGCGACGAUUCAAUAUUCACCAGUUUUUGGCACCAGCUGCCAGGCCUCUGAGCUUGCUUAUGUCUGCGCGGCACCGUGUCGCUGGUAUCGCACUACUUCCAGCCGACGCGACCCAUC
rnacentral:snRNA from 1 species